rnacentral:rRNA from 1 species
GCCUAGGAAUCUGCCUGGKAGUGGGGGACWACGUUUCGAAAGGAACGCUAAUACCGCAUACGUCCUACGGGAGAAAGCAGGGGACCUUCGGGCCUUGCGCUAUCAGAUGAGCCUAGGUCGGAUUAGCUAGUUGGUGGGGUAAUGGCUCACCAAGGCGACGAUCCGUAACUGGUCUGAGAGGAUGAUCAGUCACACUGGAACUGAGACACGGUCCAGACUCCUACGGGAGGCAGCAGUGGGGAAUAUUGGACAAUGGGCGAAAGCCUGAUCCAGCCAUGCCGCGUGUGUGAAGAAGGUCUUCGGAUUGUAAAGCACUUUAAGUUGGGAGGAAGGGCAGUAAGUUAAUACCUUGCUGUUUUGACGUUACCGACAGAAUAAGCACCGGCUAACUCUGUGCCAGCAGCCGCGGUAAUACAGAGGGUGCAAGCGUUAAUCGGAAUUACUGGGCGUAAAGCGCGCGUAGUGGUUUGUUAAGUUGGAUGUGAAGCCCGGCUCACUGGACUGCAUCCAACUGGCAAGCUAGAGUACGGUAGAGGGUGGUGGGAAUUUCCUGUGUAGCGGGUGAAUGCGUAGAUAUAGGAGGACCA